GUCUUCCAGCAGGGCGGGGCCCAGCUCCGGUUGUUCCGCCACGUUUGAGCGGGCGAGCCCGGCGGCCGGGAGACGCCAGGGAACGGGGCUGGUGGGGGUGCAAAGGCUCGGUUCCGUCGCCUUCAGCCCUGCGGUGGGGGCACGGGGCAAGUGAGGGGACGGCAGAGGCGGCGUUCGGUGUGAGGCUGCGCCCUGGGCUCCUGAAAAUCCAGGGCUGCAGUCAUUUGAAGGCUUGACUGGGGCUGGAGGAUUUUCAUCCAAGAUGGCUCACUCACCCAGCUGUUGGCAGGAGACCUCGGUUCUUUGACUUCUCCGUAAGACUGUAGACAGAGCUGCCCCGUGUUGCCCAGGCCGGAGUGUAGUGAUGCGAUCUUACCUCACUGCAGCUUUGAGUUCCUGGGCGUGGCACAAGCAGUUCUUGAACUCCUGGCCUCAAGCUAUCCUCCUGCCUUGGCCUCCCAAGCUGCUGGGAUUACAGGCGUGAGCCACUGCACCCAGCUGGAAUGCACAUUCUAAGUUACAAGAUUUUCAGAUCAAAUAACAAGGGAAAGAAGACUUGAUUAUGUAUACACACACAAAAAGAAAGUGUUAUCAAAACUGACAAGAAAAAUGAGAAGACAGCCAUCUGCAUGUCAAGAAGAGGACCCUCACCAGAAACUGAGUUGGCUGAAACUUUGAUCUUGAACUUCCCAGCCUCAAGACCUGUGAGAAAUCAAUUUCUGUCAUUUAAACCGCCCAGCAUAUGGUAUUUUACAAUGGCAGUGUGAGCAGAUGGAGGAGUUUGCUCUAGAAGUGAGCUCAGGAUUGCAAGGUUUGAGAAUUCCUAGAACCAACAUUAUUUCUGCAUGUGAUGACCUUCCCUCAUGUCCUUGCUUUUACCUGUGCAUCAGUUUGCUGAUCCCAUCUAGGAAUGUUCUUAACCUCUUAGGCAGUUACUAAGAGUGAUUUUAGAUGCUCUUGUUCUCAGGGCACUCAGAUUCCCCAUUUUCCUCUUUCCAUUUGCUCCCACAUGAAUACCAAGUGAAUCCUGUCAAUACUGGUGGUUCAUUCCUUCUUCUCAUAUUUUUGGAUUCUUAUCCACUAGUUUUAUUGCAGAUCAGUAUAUCCUUUUGAUAGUGUAGUUUUAGCCUAGGGAUCACUAUAUCAAUAAAUAUGUGACUUACAUGGACUUCAUAGGCCACACCUACAAAUCAUUCUGUACUUUUAAUCUUGAUGUGAACUGAAGAAUACCACUUAUGAAGCAGAAGGGUGAUAAUAGACUAUCCGGGAGCUUUAUCGUACUGGACAGGUCUCUGAAUCAGCUUAAGCCUGAUGAGCUAGUUGAUCUAAAUUUCACUGUAUUUAAGCUUUAUCUCUGAGCCAGAUCUAACCAUCUUCAGAACAGAGAAAUGAGAGUUUUGGAUUUCAUUCCACUUCUGUUUUAAAAAAUAUUCUCCAACCUCGAAAAAUAUAUGUCUGCAUCCAGUGAAAUUCUUAACCUCUUGGAAUCACUUUGUUCUUAAAUAACAAGGCCUUGAUCCUCUAGUAGAACUAAAAUUUAAAAAGUUAUUAACUGUAAAGGUAUCCAAUUAUUUUCAAAGUAAGUCUGAAGUUAAGAGCUAAUCAUAUAUAUGAGAAAAGAAAUCAUGGUUGAAUCAUGGUCAAUUUUUCCUUAUCAGAGAAGAGACAUGGAAUUUACACUGAGUUCUCUAAGUCAGCUAUUUUAUAUGCAUAUGAGUUUUAAAUAGUAAAUAUUUCUUUCCUGAAACAUUGAUGUGUAAAUCUGGGACAUAUCCUACUUUAGGAAGUUGUUCUGUAAUAAAAUAUAAGGCUUGGAGCUAUUAAAAAAAACCCAAUGCCCUACCAUUGCUAAAAGUUUCAAUUGUUCAGGGACAGAAUAAGUGAUGGGAUUUAGAAAAUCAUAAUGAUGGCUUUGACAUUUCUAGCUUAUUUUGUCCAAUUAUUAAUUACAAGUGUCUUUUGAUUUUUCUGCAUAUUUCUCCAUCAAUGAGUAAAAGCUUUUGAUCUGUGUUCUAUGUGGAACCCCAUGGGGAGAGAGAGAUAAAUAAUAGGAAAGAGUGAAAUAAAAGGAAAUGGAAAUUAGAAAAAUAUUUGCUUUUAUAGAUUUUAAAUACUGAAUUCACAUUCCAAUAAAUUUAUCUUUUUUGAAGGUUUUAAAAAUGCGAACUCAAUAAUCUACAAAUUUCCCUUAGUGAUAUAAAAUAGUUUCUAACUUGGUCCCCAAAUUGCUUAUUGAUAUGUAUCCCAAGGUACUUCUGUCCUCUGUGGUAGAGAAUAAAGGGAAGCCAGGAAGUGUGGGUCAGGAUCUCUGGGAAACUGCUGGCUUCUAGCAAGGCUGGCACGGGUGUGUUCCCAUGGAAGGAAAGAACCAAAGGUGCUGGUGAGUAGCUCACCACAGGGGUCAGCCCUGCAGCCCUCUCUGUGAGAUUGUCCUCAGCCUGUGCCUUGGGAAGUAGAAUUUCCUAUAUGUUCUCCACUUAGCAUGUUAUCAACAAUAUACCCCAUCAGGCACUCAAUAAAUAAAUGAAUGGAAAUCCUCCAAAUCAGGAUAAACCUCAAA